rnacentral:pre_miRNA from 1 species
AGCUUCCUGAAUCCGUGCGGAGAUUCCGUCAGACACCAACUCAUUAGUGCUGAUCAAACUUCCAAGAUAAGUGGUU